GCCCAGGCAACUGGGUCUACUGUUUCCGGUCGGCUAAAGCUCGCGUACCCGAUUGCCGCCAACAUUACACAUGAAAACUUUGAACCAAAAUACACAUCUGUUGGACCACUUAUGAACACUUGAAAGGAAGAUUUUUAAUUUUAAACCACUUAAAAUGUAAAACUUGUUCGUAAAAUAAAUCCUGGGGUCUUAAUAGGGAGUAUGACAUUUAAUAGAAAAACACAAAUUUCCGUGCUAGCAGGAGGGGAAAGACAACACUGCACACCAAUGGAGGCCAUAUGUUUUGAAAAGUGUUCUGCUAAGCAGCUUUGCAGUGGGACUUGAUUUCCGUCGAUUUUCUGAAAUAAUUUGACCUGUCACUCUGCCGAAAGACUACCCAUGAGCGCUAGAAAGUUGACAUUAUGUAUGUUAUCAGAAAAAAGGAUUGUCCAUUUUCAAUUCCUACGAAAAUAUCUUGGGACGGUUCUUAACCUUCUUUAGACAAAUCACCCAACACUUAUGCUUCUUUACUUCAAUUGUGCCAGUAUUCCUGUUUUAUUAAACCUUUGUAUCCCAUUGGGAAUGUUUUCAUUGAACGGUAAUGUUCCCAUUGUGUUUGUUUUAAAUUGAUUAUAACUUGUUAUAGCUGUAGGCUUCUUUCAAAACUGUAUGGAAUAACAGUCAGAAACUUUGUUUCCAAAACGUAGACAUAAAUAUUUCUUGAGGGAACAAUAAUGAAGUAUUGUAGAGUGGCAAGGAAUAGCAUCAUAUAGAGGGUGCUGAUGCAGUUGGGACAUUAGCCAAUAUGAACUUCUCUGAGCUGAGCAGCCUUCAACUCAGCUACUACUCUACAAGUGUCCACAAAUCCUGCAAAUCUUCUCACACUCUGUCAAGGCGAACAUUUUGUUAAUGCAGUUCUACCUCUAGAUGAGGAGCAGAAUAAGAAGAGGAAUGCAUGUUGUUUAGUUUGGUGUCGUAUUUCUUUAACAGAUCAGCCUAGACACUUGCGGUCAGAAGCUACUGCAGCCCUCCUGCACUCCUGCCGGGUUACUUCUGCCUGCUCCGACCCCCCAAUUAACCAAGAAGACCAUGUUUCUCACCUACUGGGCCCCCUACUUCAUUGAAGAACAUGGUGAUAGUUCAGCAUUUUAUGAAGAUGUUUGAUUUUGAAAAUGUGUGAAUUAUAAUUUUCUGAUGUAUUAAAUUUUCCUUGUGAACAAACGUAAAAA